rnacentral:lncRNA from 12 species
CCAUACUGGUUAUUUCCUCUUCCAGAUCAUUAAGUUAAAAUAGACCAACUCUGAUACCACACCCUGUGGCAGUUCUGAGACCUUGUCCUCAAAUGGCUGCAGAACUAUGAAGUUAGAAACCAGCUAAAUAAUAAUUAUCUGCAAAUGGCAAUUUCCUAACUUAAUUGGUUGAAUUUCAUUCUGCAGGUGGUGAUAUUAAAGCAAACGCUUUCCUGCUGUCCAAACAGACACGCUGUGGUUCUGAAUUCUGAUGGAAAGGAUAUCACCUUGGUACUCUCAUUUAGGUAUUAUUGCCAGGCAGCUUUCUGAGGAAUGACAUCUCGUUAGACCGGGCUCCUCUGGUAGAAAUGUGCCAGCGACA